UAUUAUUAUUAUUAUUAUUAUUGGCAAGUCUAAUUGGACUGACCGCCGAUUUUGAUCUGGUUCAGUUCAUGAUUUAAGAUAGAGGGACCAAGACUGGCCCUCCUAAUUGCAGGUUCUGGGCAUGUUGAAACCAUGGUCAGUCAAUAGUUCCAAGCUUGAGUUUGUCAGGUCCAGUUACUGUUCUGACCUUGCUGAUCAUGAAUAACCUGUACAUAUUUGUUUUCAAUAAACCAUAACUAACUCCAUAGAUUGGUAGCAUUGUUCACAUUUGUCCAAUAGAGUAAUGAGUAGCAAUCUUGCAUUGUUAACGCAUAUAGCUUCUGUGAGCACUCUAAAAUGUUUCUGGAGCUACAAUAACAGUGUUUGUGUGUGAAAUUUUUAUGACAUUUCUUCUCUUCUUUAGGUGGCAAGAACAGGGCGAAUAG
rnacentral:misc_RNA from 1 species